rnacentral:rRNA from 1 species
GACGAACGCUGGCGGCGUGCUUAACACAUGCAAGUCGAACGGAAAGGCCCUGCUUUUGUGGGGUGCUCGAGUGGCGAACGGGUGAGUAACACGUGAGUAACCUGCCCUUGACUUUGGGAUAACUUCUGGAAACUGGGGCUAAUACCGGAUAGGAGCUCCUGCUGCAUGGUGGGGGUUGGAAAGUUUCGGCGGUUGGGGAUGGACUCGCGGCUUAUCAGCUUGUUGGUGGGGUAGUGGCUUACCAAGGCUUUGACGGGUAGCCGGCCUGAGAGGGUGACCGGCCACAUUGGGCCUGAGAUACGGCCCAGACUCCUACGGGAGGCAGCAGUGGGGAAUAUUGCACAAUGGGCGGAAGCCUGAUGCAGCAACGCCGCGUGCGGGAUGACGGCCUUCGGGUUGUAAACCGCUUUCGCCUGUGACGAAGCGUGAGUGACGGUAAUGGGUAAAGAAGCACCGGCUAACUACGUG